UGGUUAAUCUGAAGAGUUUCAGUCAAUGGAGACUCUGAUGAAGAGUCUCACAGAAAGGGGACUUUGCUGAAGAGUCCCACUGGACUUGGACUCUAUCAUUAAUAAAAAAUUAAUUAGUGAUUAGAUUACUAAUUAGCUCAAUUUGAUUGAACAUUAAAAUCUGAAUCAAAUUUGAUUAAAUUUGAUUCAAUCAAGUCAAGUCUGAUUAGGUUAUGAGAUGACCUAUUCGGUAAGGAAGAAAUGAUCCUAAUUUGAUCGGGUCUAUGGCUCAAUUAAUUUAUUGAUUUGAUCAAGUUUAAUUCAGAU
rnacentral:lncRNA from 1 species